CAGCCGUAAACUAUGCGCGUUAGGUGUACUGGUGACCACGAGUCACCGGGGUGCCGAAGGGAAACCGUGAAACGUGCCGCCUGGGAAGUACGGUCGCAAGGCUGAAACUUAAAGGAAUUGGCGGGGGGGCGACCACAACGGGUGGAGCCUGCGGUUUAAUUGGACUCAACGCCGGAAAUCUCACCGGAUAGGACAGACAUAUGAUAGUCGGGCUGAAGACUCUACUUGAUGAUCUGAGAGGUGGUGCAGGCGUCAGUGACU
rnacentral:rRNA from 1 species